rnacentral:lncRNA from 1 species
AAUCCACCUCUGCAUGUGAUCAUCUGCAUUUGACUCCUUGAACUAUGGCAGCCAGCUGGAGCCAUGAAGUAAGCCACCCUAACAUGAGUGGCAGAAACAUGGAGAGGGUUUCACCAUAAUGGCCAGGCUGCUCUCCACCUCCUGGGCUCAAGCGAUCCACCCACCUCAGCCUCCCAAAAUGUUGGGAUUGCAGAUAUGAGCCAUAGUUCCCCUCCAUCAGUCUUAUAGUUAAAUAGACUUCAAAAGAAUGGAAGUGGCUCAGAUCCCUCUCAACUUCUAAGAGACCCUGAUCUCUCAUCCCAUUGGCCCUUCUAAUAGAGCUAUUGGCAUUCACAUCCUAUUUUCAGCCCAAAUGUCAGUUCCUGGAGUACAAAGGCGGUGGCUGCUUCAGAUGCUUCAGACUGAAACUGCUCUUUGCCAUUCUCAUGGACACUGGAGAGUUAAGUUUGGUUAAAUUGAUGCCUUUUUCUUUUAAAAAAGAAAGAAUACACAUAUACCUUUGUGUACACACAAGCUAGGAAACAUCAAUCUAAUACAUGGAUGGCAAGAAAAACCAGAUCUGGCUCAUGCCAGUUACAAUGGUCUGUGAAGAUAAAAAGAUUUCUUCAGAUUUAUUUCUCAGCCAAUUUCUGCUUUUCCUAGGGAGAAAUUAAAAGUUUGUUAAAUA